UCCGAGUUGACCCCGGCGGUCCCCCGUGAGUUCCCACCAUGACGUGCUGGCAACACAGGGCGAGGGUUGCGCUCGUUGCGGGACUUAACCCAACAUCUCACGACACGAGCUGACGACGACCAUGCACCACCUGUGAACCCGCCCCGAAGGGAGGCCAUAUCUCUACGGCUGUCGGGAACAUGUCAAGCCCAGGUAAGGUUCUUCGCGUUGCAUCGAAUUAAUCCGCAUGCUCCGCCGCUUGUGCGGGCCCCCGUCAAUUUCUUUGAGUUUUAGCCUUGCGGCCGUACUCCCCAGGCGGGAUGCUUAACGCGUUAGCUCCGACACGGAACCCGUGGAACGGGCCCCACAUCCAGCAUCCACCGUUUACGGCGUGGACUAC
rnacentral:misc_RNA from 1 species